UCUGUUUUAAAAUGAUAUAGAAUGAUAAUGUAAUAUAUCUUGCAUUGGCAAGUAACGAAGUAAAAUGUAAACCCUUUGCAAAUGUAAGAUGCCACGUUAUUUAAGGUAGAAUAAUAUAAAAGAAAGGGUCUUGAAGAUAUAAUUCCAGAUCACUCUGUACUUUAUUAUAAUAUGUAUUAGAAGAUAAGAGCAGUAGAAAAGCACAGACUUUGGUGGGGGGAAGGGAAAAGAACUGAUUCCUGAAACAUAGAUUUAUGUCUUUAAUUGGCAACCCAGCACUAUAUUACAAUCAGUGUUCCUGAAAUCAAGGGGUUAAUUUGAUCAGGUCCACCUGCCCUGCUUGCUUUUGGUCACUUAACUUUUUUCCUUUUUCCAUGAAGACGAAGGUCCUGGUAGCUGAAGGCUACUGCUAAACACUGAAACUUAACCUUCACUGGCUACUUUAUAGAUAACAUUCAUGUGUCAUCAUGGUAAUGGUCAUUUCAGUAGUUUUUCAGGAACUGGACCCAACUCCUGUCCGGUUCAAACCUGUUGAGACCACUAACUCUUCAAAUGGGCCUGAACAAGUGCCCAAGAAGGGGGCUUUUGACAUCAGAGAGCCAAAAACUCCACCCUCAGAUCAUGCUAAUGCUGCCAUUUUCUGUACAUGUAUUUUAUGGAAUGCCAUGAACCCUGAUUGUGCCUGCACAGAAGGGACCUGUUAUUUCACUGUUCCUCACUGCCAGUCACCUUUCCCCAUACCUUAGACCACUCCACUUCCCUAACCCAUAAAUAUCUGUAAGACUUAUAUUUGGAGAGGUGGACAUGAGAGUUGUUCUCCCACCUCCUCACUUGGCAGCCUUGCGAAUAAAACUUUUCUCUUUUGUAAAACCUGUGUCACAGUGAUUGAUUACUCAGAAUGGACUCAGACCUGGCUGGUACAUUCCUAGGAACGUUUUCAUUUCUGUCCUGCGUCCUUCAUCUGGAGAUAAGGGUAAACCCCAGUGCUUCAGAGCCCAGGGUCAUUGUCUUUCACCACUCAAGCUUGCACCUAAUCUUCCCCUUCACCAGACUAAAUGAUCCCAGUUCCAAUAGUUUAAGCUCCCAAAGUCUAGUUCCAAGGGUUUUGUUCUCCUCUUUGCACUCAUUAAAGGCAUUUCUGCUUUCAUAUUUCAUCAUCUAUUUGUGCCUAAGAUCAUUAAAGGUCAUGUGGUAUAAGGGCAAAAACCAGGCGGCUGUCUAAAAGUCAAAGCCAUACAGGAUUUUCAGAGGCAGCUUGAGCUGGUUCAUGUCCAGGCUCUGCUACAUCCUAUCUGUGUGAUUCUGGGCCAGUUCUCUAAACUUUUCAUAUCUCAGUGUCCUCAUUUAUAUUAAUCAUACUGUCUAUUUUCUUUAUCUUAUGAUGUUUUGACAUCUUGAGGUGGGGAUAGGGCAGGACUUACAGAUGUGGGAGAGAUGGCCCCUACCAGGGCUAGUUAAUCCCUAAAAAUAGUAAACAACUCACUUGGGAGCACACCUUUCACAUGCAAAGCAACUAACGCAGAGUCUGCCUCCCCACCCACUCUCUUCAUCUAACUCCCAGACACUAAGCCAAUAUUCCUCCUGUGCUAAAUCAUCCCAGGGCCAGAUACUAGGCAGCAAAAAAUUACUCCUACAGCCCAGAACCCACCAGAAUUAUUCAAACUAACCAAGCUUACACUCUUGACUCUGCCCUGCCUUGCCUUUCUUGCAGAAACCCAGUUAAGACUCUGGUAGGCUUUCUCCUCACUCCUGCCUCUGCCUCCUCAUCCAGUCUGGCUCUUCUCCUGUGGCCCUGUGUAGUGAGGCAUGCCCCCUUCUCUUGAGAAAUAUGCCAAGGAUUGCUCUGAGUGUUUUACAUG
rnacentral:lncRNA from 10 species